AGCAAGAUAGCUGGAUCAAAUGGUGGUUUUAUUCCAAGUUUUCUAAGAAAUAUCCAUACUGCUUUCCAGAGUGGUUACACCAAUUUGCAGUCCCACCAGCAAU
rnacentral:pre_miRNA from 1 species